AGAGCCUGAAUGGGGCAGGGAGGGCGCCUGAAGGUGGAGGGAGAGCACCUGAGGAAGGCUUGGAAGAGGAGACCCUUGAGCUGGAGUCUGUGGGGUGAACAGGAGCCGUCUGUGUGAAGGAAGAGGGGGCUGAACCGUCUGGGCAGAGGAGGAGCAGCUUUGAACUCUGGGGAAGGCCCAGGAAGCAGAAGAUUCAAGAUGAUAAGUGACGGUCUAAUGUGCCCAAGUGGUGACAGAGAAGGAUCCAGAUUCUGCCUCCUGGCAGCCUGACCUCACUGAGCCUGGCACUUAACCACGCCGCAUAACGUUGCUCAUGUCGAAGGAGGGUCCGGAACAGCCUGACGGAAAGCAUUCGAGAACUUCAAGGGACUUUGCCCCCCACCCUCCAGCCAGCCGGGAUGGCCCUCAAAGGUUAUCUCCCAGGUCAGGUAAUUCCAGCUCUGACCUGAUUCUGCACCUGGAAGGGAGGCCAGGCCAGGAGCACUGUUGUGCAGAUGAGGAAAGCAGAGCCCGGAGAGAGGGAAGUGGGAGGUCCUGAGCGGAAACCCGAGUCUCCUGGAGUAACUGCCCGGCGGGCAGGGACUGCAGGACAUGGACAGCACUGGCAACACUUUUCCUGAAAUCACCGGGGUGCUGUGCACCUGUGAAGACAAGAGCCUGACGACACACAAGUGUCCCCUUCGUGAGGGCCAGGGUCACCCGGGGAGCUACACCCCAGGCUCUAGCUUCUGCUGAAUACUUCGCUUUUCCGAUGGAGAAGUCCGUCUUUCAUCCUGGUCAGGUCACGGGGACCCUCUGUCUUCCCUGGGAGAGCACUUCCAUAUUUGAAGCAGGGUCCGUGUGGCUUCAUCUAGAGCUCACCUUUGUUCCAGCAACUCCU
rnacentral:lncRNA from 1 species